GAUUUUUAAGCGGUUAAGUAAAUAUCAUGGGGCAGGCACUGGGGGGCACAAUAUCCCAAAUAGCCGUAUUUGCAUCACAACCCUUGGAUGAGGUGAUUGCCCAACGUCGCCCAUCAUCAUCCCGGCAGGUUAAGUCCAGGAUGCCAUCCCCGUCACAGUCUGCACUCUGCAGGACUGCGGUGUCGUGGAUGCACCACCCGGAUGGCCUGGUGCAUGAAGCUGCGGCAAAAAAAACAGCAACGAUAAUAAUUGAUCAAUGCCAGAAGCAGAUCGGGCAGGUGGCCUAGCUAGGAAAGGCCACAUGAAGGGUGGAGGCCAGACCAGCUGGAAAUGAAAGGCCAGGCAGUGUAACUACGAUUUCUAGACGCAUUGAGCAGGUCGGUGCCACAAAGAGACUCAGGGCUUGCUUGCCAGCAGCCGUAGGAUAACCGUACAUGCAUGCAUGCAUGCAUGCAUGCAUGCAUGCCACCAAUACAUUCGGUGAUUGAGCAUUGCUAUGCGCUUGCAUGCAUGUUUUGUGCGAUUGGGCAUAUGUAUACAGUUGCCAAAUAUGAUGCCUGAGGGGCUUCAGGUAAGGUGUACACACUGCUGCAAUUCACUGCUCCGAAGCAAGUGGGGUUGAACAAUAAUAUGCUAUGAUAAUUCCGAGGGGCAAUGCCGGUUCGAGGGAAUUCCCUCGAACCAUCUCAAUUUCAUCGCAACGGCUGGGUUAUUACUACGUACCUGGAUCUGUGGGUGGCGAGAAUAUCUUGGGGCAGGCACUGGGGGGCACAAUAUCCCAAAUAGCCGCAUUUGCAUCACAGCCCGUGGAUGAGGUGAUCGCCCAACGUCGCCCAUCAUCAUCCCGGCAGGUAACAUCCAGGGCGCCAUCCCCGUCACAGUCUGCACUCUGCAGGACUGAGCUGUUGUGGAUGCACCACCCGGAUGGCCUGGUGCAUGAAGCUGGAACUGCGGCAAAAGCCAGCAACGAUAAUAAUCGAUCGGUGUCAGAAGCAACAGAAACAUUUCUAGAUGCAUGGAGCAGCAGGUCAGUGCCAUAAGGAAACGCAGCUCGCCUGCCAGGGUUUUAAAACCCCUAGGGUGCCUGCCAGUAGGGAAACCGUACAUGUGUCCAUGCCACCGAUACAAUCGCGGAUUUAGCAUAAUUAUGCGCUCGCGUGAAUGUGUUGUGUGACUGGCUGGGCAUAUGUACAUGCUCAUACAGUUGCUAAAUGCGAUGCCUGAGGGGCACUGCAAUUACUCCCGCCCUUGCUUGCUUACAGGAUCUCGUAGGUUGAAGCAUGAUAUGCUACAUACGAUGAUUCCCCUGAACCAUCUCAGAUUAUUCAUCACAUACAACUGCUGGGUUAUUUCUACGUACCUGGAUCUGUGGGCGGGGGGAAUAUCAUGGGGCAGGCACUGGGGGGCACAAUAUCCCAAAUAGCCGUAUUUGCAUCACAACCCUUGGAUGAGGUGAUUGCCCAACGUCGCCCAUCAUCAUCCCGGCAGGUUAAGUCCAGGAUGCCAUCCCCGUCACAGUCUGCACUCUGCAGGACUGCGGUGUCGUGGAUGCACCACCCGGAUGGCCUGGUGCAUGAAGCUGCGGCAAAAAAAAACAGCAACGAUAAUAAUUGAUCAAUGCCAGAAGCAGAUAGGGCAGGUGGCCUAGCUAGGAAAGGCCACAUGAAGGGUGGAGGCCAGACCAGCUGGAAAUGAAAGGCCAGGCAGUGUAACUACGAUUUCUGGACGCAUCGAGCAGGUCGGUGCCACAAAGAGACUCAGGGCUUGCUUGCCAGCAGCCGUAGGAUAACCGUACAUGCAUGCAUGCAUGCAUGCCACCAAUACAUUCGGUGAUUGAGCAUAGCUAUGCGCUUGCAUGCAUGUUUUGUGCGAUUGGGCAUAUGUAUACAGUUGCCAAAUGUGAUGCCUGGGGGGCUUCAGGUAAGGUGCACACACUGCUGCAAUUCACUGCUCCGAAGCAAGUGGGGUUGAACAAUGAUAUGCUAUGAUAAUUCCGAGGGGCAAUGCCGGUUCGAGGGAAUUCCCUCGAACCAUCUCAAUUUCAUCGCAACGGCUGGGUUAUUACUACGUACCUGGAUCUGUGGGUGGCGAGAAUAUCUUGGGGCAGGCACUGGGGGGCACAAUAUCCCAAAUAGCCGCAUUUGCAUCACAGCCCGUGGAUGAGGUGAUCGCCCAACGUCGCCCAUCAUCAUCCCGGCAGGUAACAUCCAGGGCGCCAUCCCCGUCACAGUCUGCACUCUGCAGGACUGAGCUGUUGUGGAUGCACCACCCGGAUGGCCUGGUGCAUGAAGCUGGAACUGCGGCAAAAGCCAGCAACGAUAAUAAUCGAUCGGUGUCAGAAGCAACAGAAACAUUUCUAGAUGCAUGGAGCAGCAGGUCGGUGCCAUAAGGAAACGCAGCUCGCCUGCCAGGGUUUUAAAACCCCUAGGGCGCCUGCCAGUAGGACAAGUUGGGUGUCGGCUUCAAGGAAGCCGGAAAAAGGGCGGGGCCCCUCUGCAUCCGUACAGGCCGGUAGCAAAGGUGGCAAGUGUGACAAUUGAUGGGUAGUGUCAACGCGGUGGGAGAUGUGCUUUGUUGCAGCAGUGCUGAUGGUGUGAGAGCUAAGCUUGCACCGGCGAAAUCGUCAGCACCGCCUGAGGGCUCCACGCGAAUCGCAUCCAUUCCGGGUGCAUGCCGCAUGGACAGUGCGGCAGACCGCAAGUCGGAAUGCCCGUGCGGGCAAAUGGUAACGAAAGCUGGGUGAAUUUCGGUGCUGUCUGUGAUGUUUAUCCCCGAAGCGCCAGCGGCCUCAGCAAUCCGCCCCACAGCCGCGGGCUUCAUCGGGGCACACCGCAAGUCUCAGGAGGCCCCGUGCAUUGGCCAAAGUAAAUGUACAAACAAGCAGCUUGUGUAUUUCAUAGAGAAAUGAAAGUAAAUUAUGUUGGCCUGCUGGUGGCAAGUCGGAUUGCCCAUGCCGGCAAAUGGUAACACAAGCUGGGUGUUCGAGUUAUCAUACGCUGUCAUCUCGGAAAUCAAUUAUGAGAUACACGGCACCUUUUGAGAUGAAAUAUAGCCCGAGAGGUGUUGAUGUGACUUUUGAGGUCGGUGAAUGGAGGCAGCUAAACUUGUUUGUGCUCAUACGGUCUUUGUUAGCUACAUGCGAGAUACCUUGCAAUAGAGAAUGCUGUAUAGUACCGAUAACGCGUUUCAGCCGGGCGAGAUAUUAUGUUUGGUCCGUUACAGACACACACACACACACACACACACACACACACACACACACACACACACACGGACAUGGGCAAUCCUACAGGUCGGGGCCCCCCUGGGCGCUUCGCGCUGGGGCCCCGCCCAAAAACCGUACAUGUGUCUAUGCCACCGAUACAAUCGCGGAUUUAGCAUAAUUAUGCGCUCGCGUGAAUGUGUUGUGUGACUGGCUGGGCAUAUGUACAUGCUCAUACAGUUGCUAAAUGCGAUGCCUGAGGGGCACUGCAAUUACUCCCGCCCUUGCUUGCUUACAGGAUCUCGUAGGUUGAAGCAUGAUAUGCUACAUACGAUGAUUCCCCUGAACCAUCUCAGAUUAUUCAUCACAUACAACUGCUGGGUUAUUUCUACGUACCUGGAUCUGUGGGCGGGGGGAAUAUCAUGGGGCAGGCACUGGGGGGCACAAUAUCCCAAAUAGCCGUAUUUGCAUCACAACCCUUGGAUGAGGUGAUUGCCCAACGUCGCCCAUCAUCAUCCCGGCAGGUUAAGUCCAGGAUGCCAUCCCCGUCACAGUCUGCACUCUGCAGGACUGCGGUGUCAUGGAUGCACCACCCGGAUGGCCUGGUGCAUGAAGCUGCGGCAAAAAAAACAGCAACGAUAAUAAUUGAUCAAUGCCAGAAGCAGAUAGGGCAGGUGGCCUAGCUAGGAAAGGCCACAUGAAGGGUGGAGGCCAGACCAGCUGGAAAUGAAAGGCCAGGCAGUGUAACUACGAUUUCUAGACGCAUUGAGCAG
rnacentral:lncRNA from 1 species